rnacentral:rRNA from 1 species
AGAGUUUGAUCCUGGCUCAGAACGAACGCUGGCGGCGUGGAUAAGACAUGCAAGUCGAGCGCUGAUUUGGAGGUAGCAAUAUUUUCAAGUCGGAGCGGCGCAAGGGUGCGUAACACGUGGGAAUCUGCCUUGAAGUGUGGGAUAACUCCGAGAAAUCGGAGCUAAUACCGCAUGUGAUCGUGAGAUCAAAGUUGGGGAUCGCAAGACCUGACGCUUCAAGAUGAGCCCGCGGCCUAUCAGCUAGUUGGUGAGGUAAUGGCUCACCAAGGCUAAGACGGGUAGCUGGUCUGAGAGGACGACCAGCCACACUGGAACUGAGACACGGUCCAGACACCUACGGGUGGCAGCAGUCGAGAAUUUUUCUCAAUGGGCGAAAGCCUGAAGGAGCGACGCCGCGUGGGGGAUGAAUGGCUUCGGCCCGUAAACCCCUGUCAUUUGCGAACAAAUUAAUUCACCCAACACGUGGAUUAUUGAUUGUAGCGGAAGAGGAAGGGACGGCUAACUCUGUGCCAGCAGCCGCGGUAAUACAGAGGUCCCAAGCGUUGUUCGGAUUCACUGGGCGUAAAGGGUGCGUAGGCGGUUGGGUAAGUUUGACGUGAAAUCUCCGGGCCUAACCCGGAAACUGCGUUGAAUACUAUCCGGCUAGAGGAAUGGAGGGGAGACUGGAAUACUUGGUGUAGCAGUGAAAUGCGUAGAUAUCAAGUGGAACACCAGUGGCGAAGGCGAGUCUCUGGACAUUUCCUGACGCUGAGGCACGAAAGCCAGGGGAGCAAACGGGAUUAGAUACCCCUGUAGUCC